GCGGGAGGCUCCGCCUUCCCACCUCCCGGCCUCCCCCUGUUGCGUUCACCUUCGAUUUCACUCUGGGAAGCCGCGGGGACCCAGGGUCGACGGCUGGAAAACAGCCCAGAGAGCUCGCUGGAGUGCGCCCUGGGCGCGGGAGCUAAAGGAGAAAUGAGACCGGCAGGACGCGGCCGCUCGCUCCGCUGCUGCCUGGCGGCGCCUGGCACCAGCAGGAUCUCAACCCCGGCGCUGCUGCGUGUGCCAAGCGAUGCCAGGCGUAAGUCCGGUCAGCUGGAGAGACUUCUGGGGACCGGGAGAGGCAGAACAGGUUUGGCUAGUGCUGCAGACUUGGUCGCCACGAACACACACGCGACGCGUCAGACACCCUCACUGUGAGCCGAAAUGGGGUGGGUAGGGGGGGUGGCCGCGUUUGAGGGGGCGUCUUAGGAGGGAGAGAUUUCAGCUCCGGGCUGACCUUUGUCCCGAAUGUCAAUGGAAAGACGGGUGGGGAGGGAAAUAUUCCCGCAGUUAGCUUAAAAAGAAAGGGUCCCAACAGAGGACAAAAAGAUUAGCACGCACACAGGCGUACCCGCAGCUGCGGCGGCUUUUCGUGGUUUCCAGGGAACUGUCAGGCGGACUGGGAGACCACAGAGAGACGUCUUAACAACCCCGUACAGCGCUGUCCGUAAACCUAGAAAGACUGGAAGCUAAUGCCCUCUCCUUUCCGCCCGGAUGCAGGACUGGAUGGAAGGCAUCCAACAUGAUGAAAUAUUGUGUAGAAGAAUGGUCUGUGUAGAACGAGCUCUGGGUACUAAAGUUGCAAGACCGAAGAGGACCGCGGGCUGCCUGCCACACCUCUUCUCGACUCGGCCUUUCCGGCUGGAUGAGCGGCGCCCUUGGACCACGAAGUACACUGCCGCAGCGCCGCCUGCUGCUUAGCAGCCGCAGAGCAUAGAAAACUGACCCGGAGAGGCCGACUUCCCCUCUCCCCCGCCCCCCAAACCUAGCCAGCACCUAAGCAGCAAGUUCUCCAAAACGGCGCCGAGAAAUUGAUCAGCCCCCCACCCCCAUCCCCAGGAUGUCUAGCAGUGGCCUGAAAAUCAAGUUCCGUGGUUUGGGUGUCUGCAAAACAAAGCUCCAUCUUUUCCCGAGUUCACAAGGAAAUCGAUGUAGACACAGAUGAAACCGUGAAUAUUCAUUAUAUUGUGCCAUGCACGAUGGGCCCAUUUUUGUGCCCUGGGAAAAACAUACGUAAAAGCAUAUAAGAGGGAAUUGUAUCUUUAAAAGUAGGAACUGAUCUUUACUUUUUUAUUUUCUUUUUAACCUCAUAACCUCUGCCCACUGUCAAAAAGUUUGGCCCAUCAAAGGUCCUCUCUGUCUCUCCACUGCACUUACCUGUUGAUGCUGGAUCCUAGGACGCUGGAAGAAGAUCAAGCUUCUCUAGAAUCAGAUGCCUGAGUGGAUCAAAUCCGUGCACCCUGCAUGGAAGUGUGGAGACCUAACCACGGGACAACCCGGAAAUUCCCUGCCUCUUGGCUUUUAGAGGCGGUCCCCUUCCUUCUCACAAGGACUGCUUUGUUUGCAAACCAGUAGCUGUGUUUGAAGGCUUCCUGGUGGCUCAGCAGCAAAGAAUCUGCCUGCAAUUCAGGGGAGAUGGGGUGGAUUCCUGGAUCAGGAUGAUCGCCUGGAGAAGAAGAUGGCAAUCUACUCCAGUAUUCUUGCCUGGGAAAUCCCGUGGACAAAGAAGCCAGAUCUCAUUUUUGGUGUUUGACCCAAGAAAUGUUUGUCUGUUUUAAGGUCACAAAGAUUUUCUCCUGUUUUUCUCUAAUACAGUGUUUCACAUAAGACGACAGUUUCGCUUCACAGCCCUGUUGUCCAGUAGAGGGAAAACUUAAGGAACAGCUGAAAUCUGUUUCUUAUCAUCGUAUUUUCCAGAGAAUGGAGCAAGUCCUCUUGUCAUCUCUUGGCUCGGGAUCUGUCUCUGCCAUUCGUUCUGUAUGAUUUCCCUUGAGGUAAAAAUGUUGAAAGACAGCUUCAUUCCUUCCGUGCUCCAGUCCUUUGCAUAACACCUGCUCCGAAAAGGCUCAUCACUCCAGUGUGGUUAUAAGUCAUCCAAUUGUCAAGUUUUCUGGUUUCAAAUUUUAAUUUAUAAAAUAAAAAUACUUUAUUUAAUCUUUUCAACAUACUGUAACCCAACUAUUUCAUCUGAACUGUUAUGUCUCUUUCCUGGUGUAUCCUAUACACAUCUGGUUUUAUAAACUAUGAAGAUGGCUGCAUGCAAAACAUACAUUUUCAGAAGAUGGUGUUCAUAUAUCAUGCAGGGCACUCUGAACAGUCCUAAGCUGUGGCCAGUCACUACGAGAAGAGACUGGAAGAAGUCCUAGGAGAGAAGGACAUCAGUUGAGUUGAUGGUGGCUUUGUGCAGUGACAUAUCCCUUUCUCUAAAGAGAAAUGUUACCUGCAAUACUCUGGCUGCAUGCCCAGUUGGUCAUUGGGGAUGCUGUCUCUCUAAAUCUGCAGCUUUAGUUACGUCCACUGUCUUAACGCACUUCCUGUCAGGAACGGUUGUGUAGAUGUGCCAGUUCGGAUAGCUGUUAUAUCUGAUAUGUGAGAAGCUGUGAUCAGGAGAGCAAAGAAAUUCUCCUAUAUGAUGCCAGUGCAGAAGUCAGAGAUGUGCCAAAUAAAUAAAUAAUAUAAAAAAGUUGUUUUGAA